rnacentral:misc_RNA from 1 species
GUGCUUUUUUUUUUUUCAUUUCUUCCUCUAUUCUUUCAUGUUGGCAGUGCUUUGCUUAUAGUUUUGAUAUCUUGAUAAGCUAUUGUGAUAUUGAAUUAGUAGAUCUAAUGAAUGAAUAUAAUUCCAUUUUCCAGAUACUAUAAUUGCAAUUUAUUUUUUGAAGCACUUACAGUAAUUGAUGUUAUCACUGUUAAUGUCCUUGCAAUUUUUAUUUUUUUUUUCACUCUGAGGCAUGUUUCUUUCUCUCUCUC